AAUUUUGGACAAUGGGGGAAACCCUGAUCCAGCCAUCCCGCGUGUAUGAUGAAGGCCUUCGGGUUGUAAAGUACUUUUGGCAUAGAAGAAAAGGUAUCCUCUAUUACGGGAUACUGCUGACGGUAUCUGCAGAAUAAUCACCGGCAAACUACGUCCCACCAUCCGCGGUAAUACGUAGGGUGCAAGUGUUAAUCGGAAUUACUGGGCGUAAAGCGUAUGUAGGCGGUUCGGAAAGAAAGAUGUGAAAUCCCAGGGCUCAACCUUGGAACUGCAUUUUUAACUGCCGAGCUAGAGUAUGUCAGAGGGAGGUAGAAUUCCAAGUGUAGCAGUGAAAUGCGUAGAUAUGUGGAGGAAUACCGAUGGCGAAGGCAGCCCCCUGGGAUAAUACUGACGCUCAGACACGAAAGCGUGAGGAGCAAACAGG
rnacentral:rRNA from 1 species